rfam:Myotis brandtii contig226921, whole genome shotgun sequence.
CUCGGGGAAGGAGGGGGUCCUUCAGCCCAGUUUGGGAAAGGGCGCAGGCUAGGCUGAGGGACCCCACUGGUGCACG